rnacentral:rRNA from 1 species
UACGUAGGUGGCAAGCGUUGUCCGGAUUUAUUGGGCGUAAAGCGCGCGCAGGCGGUCCUUUAAGUCUGAUGUGAAAUCUUGCGGCUUAACCGCAAGCGGUCAUUGGAAACUGGGGGACUUGAGUACAGAAGAGGAAAGUGGAAUUCCACGUGUAGCGGUGAAAUGCGUAGAGAUGUGGAGGAACACCAGUGGCGAAGGCGACUUCUGGUCUGUAACUGACGGCUGAGGCGCGAAAGCGUGGGGAGCAAACAGGG